rnacentral:rRNA from 1 species
CUUGGUCAUUUAGAGGAAGUAAAAGUCGUACAAGGUUUCCGUAGGUGAACCUGCGGAAGGAUCAUUAAAGAAUGCCCCUUUUUUGAAAUGGGUUCUAUUCCCAAACCGUGUAUACAUACCUUUGUUGUUUGGCAGGCCGCCUUCGGGCGUCGGCUCACGCUGACCGCGCUUGCCAGGGACCCAAACUCGUUUGUUUAGUGAUGUCUGAGUACUAUAUAAUAGUUAAACUUUCAACAACGGAUCUCUUGGUUCUGGCAUCGAUGAAGAACGCAGCAAAUGCGAUAAGUAAUGUGAAUUGCAGAAUUCAGUGAAUCAUCGAAUCUUGAACGCACAUUGCGCCCCUUGGUAUUCCGAGGGGCAUGCCUGUUCGAGGUCAUUAUGACCACUCAAGCCUAGCUUGGUAUUGGGGUUCGCAAUCUCGGGCCUUUAAAAUCAGUGGCGGUGCCAUCUGGCUCUAAGCGUAGUAAUUUUCUCGCUAUUGGGUCCGGUGGUUGCUUGCCAACAACCCCCAACUUCUAAGUUGACCUCGGAUCAGGUAGGGAUACCCGCUGAACUUAAGCAUAUCAAUAGCGGAGGA